rnacentral:misc_RNA from 1 species
UCGGACGCGAGUGCCAGCGCCAGGAAUCCUGGCCACACGGUCAGCAUUGCCGCGCGAGCGGGGUACCUGUUUACGAGCCAGGCCGAUGGCAGCACGACAACGAAUGGCGAAAGAACCAGGAACGCGAUCACAGCUCGGUGGUGAAGUUCGCGCGUUCGCUCAUGGUCG